AACGAACGCUGGCGGCAGGCUUAACACAUGCAAGUCGAACGCAUCGCAAGAUGAGUGGCAGACGGGUGAGUAACGCGUGGGAAUCUACCCAUCUCUGCGGAAUAGCUCUGGGAAACUAGAAUUAAUACCGCAUACGCCCUACGGGGGAAAGAUUUAUCGGGGAUGGAUGAGCCCGCGUUGGAUUAGCUAGUUGGUGGGGUAAAGGCCUACCAAGGCGACGAUCCAUAGCCGGUCUGAGGGGAUGAUCAGCCACAUUGGGACUGAGACACGGCCCAAACUCCUACGGGAGGCAGCAGUGGGGAAUAUCGGACAAUGGGCGCAAGCCUGAUCCAGCCAUGCCGCGUGAGUGAUGAAGGCCUUAGGGUUGUAAAGCUCUUUCACCGAUGAAGAUAAUGACGGUAGUCGGAGAAGAAGCCCCGGCUAACUUCGUGCCAGCAGCCGCGGUAG
rnacentral:rRNA from 1 species